rfam:Symbiobacterium thermophilum IAM 14863 DNA, complete genome.
GGUCGCUUAGCUCAGUUGGUAGAGCACGUGCUUUACACGCAUGGGGUCGGGGGUUCGAGUCCCUCAGCGACCA